GACGAACCGAGCGAACGUUGUUCGGAAUCACUGGGCUUAAAGGGCGCGUAGGCGGGUUCUCAAGUCCGGGGUGAAAUCCCACAGCUCAACUGUGGAACUGCCUCGGAUACUGGGAGUCUCGAGGGUGGCAGGGGUAUGCGGAACUAUCGGUGGAGCGGUGAAAUGCGUUGAUAUCGAUAGGAACUCCGGUGGCGAAGGCGGCAUACUGGUCCACUUCUGACGCUGAGGCGCGAAAGCCAGGGGAGCAAACGGG
rnacentral:rRNA from 1 species